rnacentral:rRNA from 1 species
CCUACGGGUGGCAGCAGUGAGGAAUAUUUGUCAAUGGGCGCGAGCCUGAACCAGCCAAGUAGCGUGAAGGAUGACUGCCCUACGGGUUGUAAACUUCUUUUAUAAUGGAAUAAAGUGCAGCACGUGUGCCUUUUUGUAUGUACCUUAUGAAUAAGGAUCGGCUAACUCCGUGCCAGCAGCCGCGGUAAUACGGCGGAUCCGAGCGUUAUCCGGAUUUAUUGGGUUUAAAGGGAGCGUAGGUGGGUUGUUAAGUCUGUUGUGAAAGUUUGCGGCUCAACCGUAAAAUUGCAGUUGAUACUGGCAGCCUUGAGUACAGUUGAGGUAGGCGGAAUUCGUGGUGUAGCGGUGAAAUGCUUAGAUAUCACGAAGAACUCCGAUUGCGAAGGCAGCUUACUAAACUGCAACUGACAUUGAUGCUCGAAAGUGUGGGUAUCAAACAGGAUUAGAUACCCGGGUAGUC